rnacentral:lncRNA from 1 species
AGCGGCUCCGUUUAAGAGACCCGGUGGUGCAGGUUAGUGGCGCACAAGCGUUGACCAUUCUUUUGAAAGGUAAAGCCUUAGCUGGAAGUCGUGUAUCGUGUUCGUGAUGGCAUCUAAAGACUUGGACAGACUGUGCUCGUACCUCGCCAGCAUGCAGGCCGAUCAACUGUAUUUCUUGGAGGAUGAAACUUCUUUCGUCGUACUGCAGAUCAGGGGAAUGCCUGUGCAUAUGGCCGUCGCCAGUAUCCGUGACCAUAUUGCCGCUAUCCCGGGCUUAGAAAACCGCCUACGCUGCAUAUGUAGGAUUUACGUGUGCCUCAUGAAGAACAGUGUGAUUGGUUCCUGGGUUCUCUAUCACGUCAGUGCUACUCAAGCAGCAGAUCAAGCGAAUUUCAUGAUCAGUUGUUUAGAGAAGGCGGAUUUCAACCGCGGCUUCAUUCAUUGGACGAGUGCAACGACAGAGUGUACCCUCAUGUGCGCAUUGGUGCAAGAAAGUGACACCCCGAAUUCCGGCUUUGAAGUCUAUUGCUUUUGUUUCUGGCCAUCGCGGCCUUGUCUCGCAGUCUACAGACCGCCAGAAGGAUAUUCCGUUGGACAAAGGAAAGUUAUGAGUCAGAUACUCAAGGAUGAUUCAUUAGCCUUCAAAUGCGGCGUUUACGACGAACUUUAUAAGGCGCACCUGGACGUCACUUCUCUGGGUGAAGAUCAAGACGUGGAAGACGAUGUCGCUUCGUUCAGCCGACGCAGCCAGCUAAGACACUGAAGACAUAUUGCAUUGUUCAAGGUGGAAGAAGGGCUCGCUUCACGAACUAGAAGAAUCUUGUAUUACCAGCAAUACGACGCAGAUUGAAUAACGCAAGAUUGUCAUCAGCCUAAAAGAUAUGUCGAAUUAUUCUCGCAGAUACGAAAGCGUUUUCACGAACAUCGCUAGUAAUGUUUGCAAUAGUACUAAGAUAACCACACAGAAGACCUUGACUUUCCCUAGUGAAAAAAAAAAAUGCUUUGAAUGCUCCUAUCUGGAAACACCGAUUACUUCUAUGGCGUUGUGGUGCAUAAAUGUUUGACGUGGCCAGCAAUAUGCGGCUGAAACUUUGACGAAAUGAACGCCGUUACCACUGAAGGGGACGUUGGGGUUCUUUGAAACGUUGCAAUAAAAGACCCGAAUGAAAAAAAAAAA